CGGACGGGUGAGUAAUGUCUGGGAAACUGCCUGAUGGAGGGGGAUAACUACUGGAAACGGUAGCUAAUACCGCAUAACGUCGCAAGACCAAAGAGGGGGACCUUCGGGCCUCUUGCCAUCGGAUGUGCCCAGAUGGGAUUAGCUAGUAGGUGGGGUAACGGCUCACCUAGGCGACGAUCCCUAGCUGGUCUGAGAGGACGGCCAGCCACACUGGAACUGAGACACGGUCCAG
rnacentral:rRNA from 1 species